rnacentral:rRNA from 1 species
UACGGAGGGUGCAAGCGUUAUCCGGAAUCACUGGGUUUUAAAGGGUGCGUAGGCGGCUAUGUAAGUCAGUUGUGAAAUACCUCGGCUUAACCGAAGGAAGUGCGAUUGAUACUGCGUAGCUUGAAUCAGGUUGAGGUAGGCGGAAUGUGACAUGUAGCGGUGAAAUGCUUAGAUAUGUCAUAGAACACCGAUUGCGAAGGCAGCUUACUGGGCUUUGAUUUGACGCUGAGGCACGAAAGCGUGGGGAGCAAACAGG